rnacentral:rRNA from 1 species
GACGUAGGGCGCGAGCGUUGUCCGGAUUUAUUGGGCGUAAAGAGCUCGUAGGCGGCUUGUCGCGUCGGCUGUGAAAUCCCGUGGCUCAACUGCGGGUCUGCAGCCGAUACGGGCAGGCUAGAGUUCGGUAGGGGAGACUGGAAUUCCUGGUGUAGCGGUGAAAUGCGCAGAUAUCAGGAGGAACACCGGUGGCGAAGGCGGAUCUCUGGGCCUUACCUGACGCUCAGGCACGAAAGCUAGGGGAGCGAACAGG